AUGCAUGUGGGCUGUGGAGAGGAAUACCCCAAGCACAGCUCCAUUGAAAUGGCUGCACUCAUCUGGCAUCUUGCAUUGGAAAGCUAUGUAAGCCAAACUAAUCUUUCUCUCCUCGGGCUCCCAUCUUGCAACGCACGUCACUCUCCACACGUUCCAGUUAAAUUGCACGUACCUUCCACUUUGAAGAUAGUAAGGUGAGGUCUGCAGUGAAAAGCACCCAGCGCGUUGCCUGCACAGUUCAUCCAAAGGCCCUGGAAAACCCAGGUUGCGGUGAUAACAGAAGAUGCUCGACUGGUGACCUUCCACUCAUUCGAUGCAGUAGCAGCAAUCGCGGCCACUAGCCCACAAAAACAAAAUAUAAAAGCUAUGAUCUGUAUUCCUAGCAUGUUUCCCUGUAACCCGGGGACUUAGUAAUGCCACUGUGCGGAGAGGAAAGUACUUCAGUCAUGUGAGUAAGCAAAAAGACAUAACAUAAGCAAAUUAUACUUGAACAAGUUCAGUAACACUUGCUACAGAAAGUUAAUGUGGCUGAAAGAAAUUGUCGCGCUUGAGUGAUUUUGAGAAAGGCCUUAGGCGUUACAAAUGUUUAGAAAGAAAGACAAGGUACAACUUUAUGGGAGCUAAUUACCAGCACUUACUUACUAAUUUCUAAUUGUAAAAAAUAAUUAAAACGUUUUCAUACUUUUUUCAAUUAUGGUAUUCCAGUUAAUGCUUAAUUUUUAGUUAAUUGGAAACCUACAAACAUUGCAUCUAGCAAAAAAAGUUCAGAGUCCAAACUGUACAGUGCUAUUUAACAGAUUACCAUAACAUUUUAGAAGGAUCACACAACAAUUGAAAAAUGCAUUUUGAAAAGGCUGUGAAAUUAAUUCAGCCAUAACUAGCUGCCAUACGAGCAGUUGUAAGACAGCAACGUCUUGGAGGCUGUGUCUGUGAAUGCAAUCGUGGAAUAACAAAUCUGGAGCAAGAACAGAAAUAGCAAGCGGUCCCUUUGCUGCAGUAGUGAGGAGAAUUAACUUGAAGUAGCCUCCAUCAAGUUUUAUUCUCUGCUCUUCAAAGAAAAUUUACUUCUUCUUAUGGUACGUCUUCCCUGCUCGGUGAACAUGGUGCAGGAACAUCUGUCCUACCACUGACUGAGCUCCCACAACCUCGUGCCAUGAAGAAUCCCCAAAGAACACCACUGAUUUAAUAACGUGUCAUCCUUACAGUGCUAGGCACUGAUUCUUAACAGACCUGUCCAGCCUGGGCUCAGCACCACGCUGAAGCAGCUAUUCUGCUUCCAGUUCCUGAGUAAACUCAACUGACUCCUGUGGGCUCUGCACAUGGCUUCACAGACAUAUGUGGUCUUCAGGCUUCUGAGAUGCCAACUUCCAGCUUUAUUCUUGCUGUCUUCAUGCUCUGGCCCUUCUUGGCCUCCUUUCUUAAAAAGAAGCAUAUAUCUCCUCUCUUUGGUCUUGCAUUAUGCCAUUUGGUGAUGUGCAAUCACCCAGGGUAUUGAGUAUGCACCAUCACUUUCGACAGUGACAGCAGUCUGUUUUUUUUUCCUCCUCAGAUGCUUCUCGUGUCACUUUUUCCUUCUGCAACUGUGAUAAAUGCCACACCAAACUUUGGCAUCUGAGCUUUUCUGUAGACUUCCCAAAUCUCAAGCAAAGGUCACCAAGGAUAAUAAAACAUCGUUGAUAUUCUAUGUAAAGACCA
rnacentral:lncRNA from 1 species